GCUUAAAGAGCCGCGGUAUUUUGACCGUGCAAAGGUAGCAUAAUCAUUAGUUUUUUAAUUGGAAACUCGUAUGAAUGGUUAAACAAAAGAAUCUCUGUCUUUUUAUCUAAUAUUGAACUUAACUUUUAAGUGAAAAGGCUUAAAUUUUUUAAGGGGACGAUAAGACCCUAUAAAGCUUUAUAAUGAAAUAAUAUUUUUUUGAAUAAAUUUUAUAAAAAAUAAAUAAAAUAACCUUAUUUUGUUGGGGCGACAUAGAUAUAAAUAUAUAAUUUAACUGUCAUAAUAUAAUACAUAAAUAUUUGAAUUAAAUAUAAAUGAUCCUUUUUUUUUAAAGAUUAAAAGACUAAGUUACUUUAGGGAUAACAGCGUUAUUUCUUUUGAGAGUUCUUAUUGAAAAAGAAGUUUGCGACCUCGAUGUUGAAUUAAAAAAUCUUUAUAGUGCAGCCGUUAUAAAAAGAAGGUCUGUUCGACCUUUAAAUUUUUA
rnacentral:rRNA from 1 species